rnacentral:rRNA from 1 species
CAGCCGCCGCGGGAAUACGUAGGUGGCAAGCGUUGUCCGGAAUUAUUGGGCGUAAAGGGCUCGCAGGCGGUUUCUUAAGUCUGAUGUGAAAGCCCCCGGCUCAACCGGGGAGGGUCAUUGGAAACUGGGAAACUUGAGUGCAGAAGAGGAGAGUGGAAUUCCACGUGCAGCGGUGAAAUGCGUAGAGAUGUGGAGGAACACCAGUGGCGGAGGCGACUCUCUGGUCUGUAACUGACGCUGAGGAGCGAAAGCGUGGGGAGCGAACAGGAUUAGAUACCCGUGUAGUCCCUGUCUCUUAUAC